GGUAGAAGAGGAGUAAGGGCAAGGAGACAAGUCUCGGAUGAAAUUCGAGCCACUUUAGUGGACCAUGUUCUUGUCCCUGAGGGAGGCUAGGCAACGAGUCCAGCCUAAUGUGAGUCGCUUCACCGUCACCUCCAUCAUCAGAACUUUCAGGGAGGAAAACAGGAUACAGAGACGACCAUCUGGUGGUGGGAGGCUAAGGCUUUUGUCAGAGGAGCAAGAGAGGGAGCUUGUAAACAUGGUCAUUGCCAAUAAUGUAAUCCGCCUGCGAGAGAUUCAAAGGAGAGUGAUUGAGGAUAAUCCAUCAGCCUUUCCACAAUUGAUCGCAUCCUCCGAAAGCAUCGGUUCCGGAUGAAACAGGUGUACAGGGUAAAAGAGUGGAAUAUGUUCAGAGAAUCUUUGAGUUUGAAGGCUGGCCUGUUCCACCUGAAAUUAUCUUUGUGGAUGAGGCUGGUUUCAACCUCACCAAAAGAAGGAGAUGUAGGAGGAAUAUAAUCGGCCAUCAGGCUAUUGUAAAUGUCCCUGGUCAGCGUGCAGGGAAUGUCACGAUGUGCGCAGC